UGGGGAAUAUUGCACAGUGGGGGAAACCCUGAUGCAGCGACGCCGCGUGAGCGAAGAAGGCUUUCGAGUCGUAAAGCUCUGUCCUAUGAGAAGAUAAUGACGGUAUCAUAGGAGGAAGCCCUGGCUAAAUACGUGCCAGCAGUCGCGGUAAUACGUAUGGGGCGAGCGUUGUCCGGAAUUAUUGGGCGUAAAGGGUACGUAGGCGGUUUUUUAAGUCAGGUGUCAAAGCGUGGAGCUUAACUCCAUUAAGCACUUGAAACUGAAAGACUUGAGUGAAGGAGAGGAAAGUGGAAUUCCUAGUGUAGCGGUGAAAUGCGUAGAUAUUAGGAGGAAUACCGGUGGCGAAGGCGACUUUCUGGACUUUUACUGACGCUCAGGUACGAAAGCGUGGGGAGCAAACAGG
rnacentral:rRNA from 1 species